rnacentral:rRNA from 1 species
AUUGAACGCUGGCGGCAGGCCUAACACAUGCAAGUCGAACGAGUGGCGGACGGGUGAGUAAUGUCUGGGAAACUGCCUGAUGGAGGGGGAUAACUACUGGAAACGGUAGCUAAUACCGCAUACCAUCAGAUGUGCCAAGAUGGGAUUAGCUAGUGGGUGGGGUAAAGGCUCACCAAGGCGACGAUCCCUAGCUGGCCUGAGAGGAUGACCAGCCACACUGGGCCUGAGACACGGUCCAGACUCCUACGGGAGGCAGCAGUGGGGAAUAUUGCACAAUGGGCGCAAGCCUGAUGCAGCCAUGCCGCGUGUAUGAAGAAGGCCUUCGGGUUGUAAAGUACUUUCAGCGGGGAGGCGUUACCCGCAGAAGAAGCACCGGCUAACUCCGUGCCAGCCGCCGCGGUAAUUC